rnacentral:rRNA from 1 species
GGUUAAGCGACUAAGCGUACACGGUGGAUGCCCUGGCAGUCAGAGGCGAUGAAGGACGUGCUAAUCUGCGAAAAGCGACGGCGAGGUGAUAUGAACCUUUGACCCGUCGAUGUCCGAAUGGGGAAACCCAGUGUGAUCCGUCACACUAUCGUUAACUGAAUACAUAGGUUAACGAGGCGAACCGGGGGAACUGAAACAUCUAAGUACCCCGAGGAAAAGAAAUCAACCGAGAUUCCCCCAGUAGCGGCGAGCGAACGGGGAGCAGCCCGGAGUCUGAAUCAGCUUGUGUGUUAGUGGAAGCGUCUGGAAAGUCGCACGGUACAGGGUGACAGUCCCGUACACGAAAAUGCACAGGUUGUGAACUCGAAGAGUAGGGCGGGACACGUGGUAUCCUGUCUGAAUAUGGGGGGACCAUCCUCCAAGGCUAAAUACUCCUGACUGACCGAUAGUGAACCAGUACCGUGAGGGAAAGGCGAAAAGAACCCCGGCGAGGGGAGUGAAAAAGAACCUGAAACCGUGUACGUACAAGCAGUGGGAGCACCUUCGUGGUGUGACUGCGUACCUUUUGUAUAAUGGGUCAGCGACUUAUAUUCUGUAGCAAGGUUAACCGUAUAGGGGAGCCGCAGGGAAACCGAGUCUUAACUGGGCGUUAAGUUGCAGGGUAUAGACCCGAAACCCGGUGAUCUAGCCAUGGGCAGGUUGAAGGUUGGGUAACACUAACUGGAGGACCGAACCGACUAAUGUUGAAAAAUUAGCGGAUGACCUGUGGCUGGGGGUGAAAGGCCAAUCAAACCGGGAGAUAGCUGGUUCUCCCCGAAAGCUAUUUAGGUAGCGCCUCGUGAACUCAUCUUCGGGGGUAGAGCACUGUUUCGGCUAGGGGGCCAUCCCGGCUUACCAACCCGAUGCAAACUACGAAUACCGAAGAAUGUUAUCACGGGAGACACACGGCGGGUGCUAACGUCCGUCGUGAAGAGGGAAACAACCCAGACCGCCAGCUAAGGUCCCAAAGUCAUGGUUAAGUGGGAAACGAUGUGGGAAGGCACAGACAGCCAGGAUGUUGGCUUAGAAGCAGCCAUCAUUUAAAGAAAGCGUAAUAGCUCACUGGUCGAGUCGGCCUGCGCGGAAGAUGUAACGGGGCUAAACCAUGCACCGAAGCUGCGGCAGCGACGCUUAUGCGUUGUUGGGUAGGGGAGCGUUCUGUAAGCCGUCGAAGGUGUGCUGUGAGGCAUGCUGGAGGUAUCAGAAGUGCGAAUGCUGACAUAAGUAACGAUAAAGCGGGUGAAAAGCCCGCUCGCCGGAAGACCAAGGGUUCCUGUCCAACGUUAAUCGGGGCAGGGUGAGUCGACCCCUAAGGCGAGGCCGAAAGGCGUAGUCGAUGGGAAACAGGUUAAUAUUCCUGUACUUGGUGUUACUGCGAAGGGGGGACGGAGAAGGCUAUGUCAGCCGGGCGACGGUUGUCCCGGUUUAAGCGUGUAGGUGUCUGUUCCAGGCAAAUCCGGUUCACUUUAAAACUGACGCGUGAAGACGAGGCACUACGUAGAUGAAGUGAUAAAUUCCCUUCUU